CAUUGGCAUGACCAAGGCUG
rnacentral:misc_RNA from 1 species